UACGUAGGGUGCAAGCGUUAAUCGGAAUUAGCUAGGGCGUAAGCGUGCGCAGGCGGUGAUGUAAGACAGGUGGUGAAACUCCCGGGCUUAACCUGGGAACUGCAUUUGUGACUGCAUCGCUGGAGUGCGGCAGAGGGGGAUGGAAUUCCGCGUGUAGCAGUGAAAUGCGUAGAUAUGCGGAGGAACACCGAUGGCGAAGGCAAUCCCCUGGGCCUGCACUGACGCUCAUGCACGAAAGCGUGGGGAGCAAACAGG
rnacentral:rRNA from 1 species